rnacentral:rRNA from 1 species
AAAUCCGGGCGCGGAAUUCAAGGGUGUGGCGCGAGCUUCUUAGGAAGCGAAGCAAUUGGAAGUGGAUCCAAGAAAAGCCUCUAAGCUUCAGUUUAACAAUGACCGUACCGCAAACCGACACAGGUGGGCGAGAUGAGAAUUCUAAGGCGCUUGAGAGAACUCGGGAGAAGGAACUCGGCAAAUUGGUACCGUAACUUCGGGAUAAGGUACGCCCUUGUAGCUUGAUGCCCCUGCGGGC